GGCUGGAAGACUCCUUAGCAACAAUCCCUGAGAAGAGAAGGCAGCGGAGAGCCAUGCUCCUCACGUUCUGAGGGAAAAUCAGUUCAUGCAGGAGUCUUUCAGGACAAAUUGCCAGAAAAGAUGUUACUCAGAAGACCAAAAGACAAUGAAUCACUUAAAAAUAAACUACCGAAAUAGAAAUGAGCAUCAACAAUCUGUGGCCAUGAUGUUGGCAAGUGAGAAAAUCAGUCAACAUCUUCAAGCUACACAUUGAAUAAACAUCCAUGCAAUGAGAGGAAGAAACGAGAGGAUGCAAGAGUUUAAUGAUGUAAAAGCUCUCACGGUGAAAAUAUGUUUCACUUUAUAAAAGGUCAAUGAUUAUUUUCAAGAUGCUAUACCUUAGGUAUAAUUGUUUUGUUAACCCUCCUUUCUGCUUCAACUCUCUCCAUAAAAGUUGGCAUGUAAUCGUCUUUACUGCAAAGCCAGGGCCAGUCUACUGGUCUACACAGUGAGUUCCAGGCCAGCUAGGGCUGCACAGUAACAUCUUGUCUCAAAAACAAAACAAUAAAAGAGAUUUUAAAAGACCCACCCCAAACAAAUAAUAAGACUAAAGACAGCUGGCAAUGAAGCUCAGAUGGUAGUCUGCUUUUCUGCCAUGUAGAAGCCUUGGUUUUGAUCCUUAGCACUUCAGAGCCUAGCUUACUGGUGCAUGCCCAUAAUUCCAGAACUUCAGCAAGGAAGGCAGAGGGGAUCAGAAAUUCAAGGCCACCUUUGUUACAUGUUCAAUCUAAUGUUAGCCCAUGCUACAUAAGGCUGCUCCAACUGCAGAAGAGAUUGCCUUGGCUAUUUUGGGUUGCUAAGUGGGUAAAGAAAUUGCCUCCCUAUCUUAAGACCUGAGUUUGAUGGUGAAAGGUCAUAUAGAUAUUUUUCUGUAUUUCUUAUGGAGCUGUAGUGUUCUAUGUGUUUCAUGUAGUUCUGCAAUCAGUAUGUGUCUGACUUGUAUGACUAGAGGGAGGCAGAGAUCAGAACUUUUAUUAUGAUUAUUAUUAUUACUGUUAUUAUUACUCAACUAGUUUUAGGACUAUCCAAGUAACUCACCAUUUGUUGAAAAGUUUCUCUUUUCUGGAAAAUAUUUUCUUUCUUUUUUAACUUUUUAAAAAUUGUAUGACAGUAUCAC